GCCCCCAUCGUCUAGUGGCUUAGGACUUUUUCUUUUCGAGAAAAAAACAGGGAUUCAAAUUCCCUUGGGGGUA
rnacentral:tRNA from 1 species